rnacentral:rRNA from 1 species
AUUGAACGCUGGCGGAAUGCUUUACACAUGCAAGUCGAACGGCAGCACGGACUUCGGUCUGGUGGCGAGUGGCGAACGGGUGAGUAAUAUAUCGGAACGUGCCCAGUCGUGGGGGAUAACGUAGUGAAAAUUACGCUAAUACCGCAUACGAUCUACGGAUGAAAGCGGGGGAUCGCAAGACCUCGCGCGAUUGGAGCGGCCGAUAUCAGAUUAGGUAGUUGGUGAGGUAAAGGCUCACCAAGCCAACGAUCUGUAGCUGGUCUGAGAGGACGACCAGCCACACUGGGACUGAGACACGGCCCAGACUCCUACGGGAGGCAGCAGUGGGGAAUUUUGGACAAUGGACGCAAGGCUGAUCCAGCCAUUCCGCGUGCAGGACGAAGGCCUUCGGGUUGUAAACUGCUUUUGUACAGAACGAAAAGGUUUCUAUUAAUACUAGGGGCUCAUGACGGUACUGUAAGAAUAAGCACCGGCUAACUACGUGCCAGCCGCCGCGGUAA